AUGAUGUCACAUCCGCUCAUUUCCAUGGCGGCCGUCUUACGGAGCCGGCUACGCUGCGAAACGGUCCGUAUUCUGUGCCCACUUAGAGCACUGAACAUCCCACGUCUUCGUUUGACUUCCUCGUACAGGAUACUUGCACUUAGCAUGAAGUGAUGAAGCAUAGCAGUGUACUUUUAUUAAAUGUGCAGAUUUUAGCAGUAUAACAGCAGUUCAUUAAAAAAACAUGUGUGCUGAAAAUAAAGUGUUCUUACCCACA